rnacentral:lncRNA from 1 species
CAGGAUGGUCUCCAGCACCGAUAUACUGCGGCUAGCAACCAGAUCAGACCGCUGGUGCGACCAAUCAGUGCUGCCAAUGAUCGAAUCUAGUUGUUAGCAUGCUUAAUCGUGCUGCCAGCGACUCGAACCAAGCCACUAGUUGGCCGAUUGGAGCUUAAGCAGGCGAGAGUAGUCCAUGUUUAUUCAGGGAAAUAAACGCUAAAUGGAAAACAAGAUAAGCCUGUCAUGUUUUUUCUGGGUUUGUAACUUUUGCAAGUAUGCCAUGCUUAUAAUUUCCGGGUUUACAUUGUUGUAGGGGAUGGGGUUGCAAUUUUUGAUUGUUAAUUUAAAUUUUCUUUAUUGCAAUUUUUCGUUGUUUAGAUGCUCCAGUAAAA